rnacentral:rRNA from 1 species
CUACGGGAUUCACCAGUGAGGAAUAUUGCACAAUGGGGGGAACCCUGAUGCAGCAACGCCGCGUGGAGGAUGACGCAUUUCGGUGUGUAAACUCCUUUUAUAUGUCAAGAAAAUGACGGUAGCAUAUGAAUAAGCACCGGCUAACUCCGUGCCAGCAGCCGCGGUAAUACGGAGGGUGCAAGCGUUACUCGGAAUCACUGGGCGUAAAGGACGCGUAGGCGGGUUGGAAAGUCAGGUGUGAAAUCCUACAGCUUAACUGUAGAACUGCACUUGAAACUACGAGCCAAGAGUAUGGGAGGGGGAGAUGGAAUUAGUGGUGUAGGGGUAAAAUCCGUAGAUAUCACUAGGAAUACCUAAAGCGAAGGCGAUCUCCUGGAACAUAACUGACGCUAAGGCGUGAAAGCGUGGGGAGCAAACAGGAUUAGAUACCCGAGUAGUC